rnacentral:siRNA from 1 species
CUGAUAGCUAGGGUCGAUUCUA